rnacentral:rRNA from 1 species
GACGAACGCUGGCGGCGUGCUUAACACAUGCAAGUCGAACGGAAAGGCCCUGCUUUUGUGGGGUGCUCGAGUGGCGAACGGGUGAGUAACACGUGAGCAACCUGCCCUUGACUUUGGGAUAACUUCAGGAAACUGGGGCUAAUACCGGAUAGGAGCUCCUGCUGCAUGGUGGGGGUUGGAAAGUUUCGGCGGUUGGGGAUGGACUCGCGGCUUAUCAGCUUGUUGGUGGGGUAGUGGCUUACCAAGGCUUUGACGGGUAGCCGGCCUGAGAGGGUGACCGGCCACAUUGGGACUGAGAUACGGCCCAGACUCCUACGGGAGGCAGCAGUGGGGAAUAUUGCACAAUGGGCGGGAGCCUGAUGCAGCAACGCCGCGUGCGGGAUGACGGCCUUCGGGUUGUAAACCGCUUUCGCCUGUGACGAAGCGUGAGUGACGGUAAUGGGUAAAGAAGCACCGGCUAACUACGUG